rnacentral:rRNA from 1 species
AUACGGAGGGUGCAAGCGUUACUCGGAAUCACUGGGCGUAAAACGCGCGCAGGCGGCUUGAUAAGUUGGAUGUGAAAGCCUACGGCUCAACCGUAGAACUGCAUCCAAAACUGUCAGGCUAGAGUGUGGGAGAGGAAGAUGGAAUUAGUUGUGUAGGGGUAAAAUCCGUAGAGAUAACUAGGAAUACCAAAAGCGAAGGCAAUCUUCUGGAACACUACUGACGCUGAGGCGCGAAGGCGUGGGGAGCAAACAGGAUUAGAAACCCGAGUAGUCC